AGCGAACGCUGGCGGCAGGCUUAACACAUGCAAGUCGAGCGGGCAUCCUUGUGGUGUCAGCGGCAGACGGGUGAGUAACGCGUGGGAACGUGCCCUUCGGUUCGGAAUAACUCAGGGAAACUUGAGCUAAUACCGGAUACGUGCGAGAGCAGAAAGGUUUAUCUGCCGAAGGAUCGGCCCGCGUCUGAUUAGCUAGUUGGUGAGGUUAUGGCUCACCAAGGCGACGAUCAGUAGCUGGUCUGAGAGGAUGAUCAGCCACACUGGGAGUGAGACACGGCCCAGACUCCUACGGGAGGCAGCAGUGGGGAAUAUUGGACAAUGGGGGCAACCCUGAUCCAGCCAGGCCGCGUGAGUGAUGACGGCCUUAGGGAUGUAAAGUUCUUUUCUUCGGGACGAUAAUGACGGUACCGGAGGAAUAAGCCCCGGCUAACUUCGUG
rnacentral:rRNA from 1 species